UAAAAGUGAACAGGAUGCUGAACUAGAUGAACCAUUGGCCUGAUUCAGCAGGCUCUUCUUAGGUUCUGGUAUUCCCACAGCACAAGAAACGUGCCACAAGUGAGCAUGCCAUGCCUCAUCUUCAAAAGCAUGCCAGGAGGGGAAACCUGUGAGAGCCUCUCUGCUCCUUCUGUCCAGUUCUGAGCUCCUCGCUUUGCUCCUGAGUCGUGACUCCUGAGCAUGGCACCUGCUGUCGAUGCUCUACGGUUACUUGCGCAAAUAAAGAUCCCUUUUCUGCUUCCAAGAAUCAGAGUCUAGCUGUGCAUGUGCUAGGUAGGAGCCCGGACAUGAGAGCUCAGAGGCAAGAUAUGAAGAAGCAUUUAAAAUCUUGUUAUUGUGCUGCAAGCUUAAGGAUCUUACUCGGUUUGCCUUGGUGGCUGUCGAAAGGUGCGGUCCUGAGAACAAAUCCCAGGCAGCUGUUUAAGAACCUCCAGGCGUGUGAGGACCGUGUUCCGAUUUAGAGAGAUGUCAAAGGACAGCCUUCCAAGGAGUUAGGCCAGAUUAAACAUGAGUAGCAAACAGCAUCAGAAUCCAUCCUGUGGUCUGCGGCAAUGCCAGUAAUCGUGUCUGACACAGCGAGCGCCCAUCCUUUCAGAAACUGACAUACUGCUUCUGCCACAGAUCCCCAAGUACACACUGUCUCUUCUUCCUACUUAUUAGCACAUGUUUCUCAAGAGCUACUCCAACAAAAUUCCAGGUGCUCUGUCUCAUUCAUGUCUGUUUUUCCUUCUAGACCAAACCCAGUGUUCCAGCCAUACAUUCUGCAGGAGGUGCUGAGUGAUGGACGAAUCUAUUUCCAGCCAGCACAAAGACCGUAGAGGAGAUUUAUACAUUAUAUCAGCUUCUUCAUUGGAUAAUGAUGAUGAUGAAUCUCAGUGCUUUUUCUGGGUGUAUUCAAGGGACAUGUUUACGAAGAUCAGGAAUCUUCGCCUUAUUGCCCAGGGUUGCCUUGCAGAACAAACAGGCAAGAAAUGAGCUUUUGAAAACUGCGGGAGCCAGUUCUGCAAAACACAUUUCAACUUAUCACUGCUGGAGCUGGCUGCUCUUUUCUAUGCUACACUUUUAAGUUGAGUUUUAUGCCAUCAUCACAUGCCAUUCAAAACUGUUAUGAACAGCUGAAAUCAGUUAGGCAAGAAGAGUGCAGUAAAAGCCUGGUAUUCUGUCAAGGAUUUCCAAACUGCAUGUCAUAAUCAAGGAUACAGAUUUACAUUGCAAGGUUUAUGUCCAAAGGCAACCUCUUUUCUGAGCCCUGAUUUUGCAUGGUGGAAGAUGGUCAUGGUGACCUAAUCAGCCAAAGUCCAGACAGAUGCGCUUGAAAUUCCCCAAACCCUUUCCCACACUAAUCAAAGGCUGCCCCCCCCCAAUAUAAUUGUUGGCUAUAUCUACAAUACUGAUCCCAUAGCACCAGUGUGAUAUCAUACAUGCCCUUCAUAUAAUACAGCAGGAGUGAGGAACCUGUGGCUGCUGAGAUCAUAGAAUUAUAGAGUUCAAAGAGACCCCAAGGUUCAUCUAG